UACGUAGGUGGCAAGCGUUGUUCGGAGUUACUGGGCGUAAAGGGUGUGUAGGCGGUUGUUUAAGUUUGGUGUGAAAUCUCCCGGCUCAACUGGGAGGGUGCGCCGAAUACUGAAUGACUUGGAGUGCGGGAGAGGUGAGUGGAAUUCCUGGUGUAGCGGUGAAAUGCGUAGAUAUCAGGAGGAACACCGGUGGUGUAGACGGCUCACUGGACCGUAACUGACGCUGAGACACGAAAGCGUGGGUAGCAAACAGG
rnacentral:rRNA from 1 species